UCUUCGGAGAGUUUGAUCCUGGCUCAGGAUGAACGCUGGCGGCGUGCCUAAUACAUGCAAGUCGAGCG
rnacentral:ncRNA from 1 species